rnacentral:rRNA from 1 species
AUUGAACGCUGGCGGCAGGCCUAACACAUGCAAGUCGAGCGGAUGGAGGUAGCUUGCUCCUGGAUUCAGCGGCGGACGGGUGAGUAAUGCCUAGGAAUCUGCCUGGUAGUGGGGGAUAACGUCCGGAAACGGGCGCUAAUACCGCAUACGUCCUGAGGGAGAAAGUGGGGGAUCUUCGGACCUCACGCUAUCAGAUGAGCCUAGGUCGGAUUAGCUAGUUGGUGGGGUAAAGGCCUACCAAGGCGACGAUCCGUAACUGGUCUGAGAGGAUGAUCAGUCACAUUGGAACUGAGACACGGUCCAGACUCCUACGGGAGGCAGCAGUGGGGAAUAUUGGACAAUGGGCGAAAGCCUGAUCCAGCCAUGCCGCGUGUGUGAAGAAGGUCUUCGGAUUGUAAAGCACUUUAAGUUGGGAGGAAGGGCAGUAAGUUAAUACCUUGCUGUUUUGACGUUACCAACAGAAUAAGCACCGGCUAACUUCGUG